CGUGGCGACGCGGAAUCUGAAGGAAGCGAGCGGCAAACUUAGGGUCUCUCGGAACACGAACUUCAUAUAAGGCUAAGUAUCAUUGGGUGAGUUUGCCAAACAAAACAAAGCCCUUUCUGCCGAAGGUGAUACAGAGUAAAUGAAGCAGAUAGAUGGAAGGAAAGAUU
rnacentral:ncRNA from 1 species